rnacentral:rRNA from 1 species
ACUCAAAUGAAUAGACGGGGGCCCGCACAAGCGGAGGAACAUGUGGUUUAAUUCGAUGAUACGCGAGGAACCUUACCCGGGCUCGAACGGUGCAUGAAUAAGCAAGAGAUUGUUUAGUCCUUCGGGACAUGUAUCGAGGUGCUGCAUGGUUGUCGUCAGCUCGUGCCGUGAGGUGUCGGCUUAAGUGCCAUAACGAGCGCAACCCUUGUUGUUAGUUACCAACAGGUAAAGCUGGGGACUCUAACGAGACUGCCACCGUAAGGUGUGAGGAAGGGGGGGGAUGACGUCAAAUCAGCACGGCCCUUAUGUCCGGGGCGACACACGUGUUACAAUGGGGGGUACAGAGGGCAGCCAUCCGGUGACGGAGCGCCAAUCUCCAAAACCCUUCUCAGUUCGGAUUGGAGUCUGCAACCCGACUCCAUGAAGUUGGAUUCGCUAGUAAUCGCGCAUCAGCCAUGGCGCGGUGAAUACGUUCCCGGGCCUUGCACACACCGCCCGU